rnacentral:tRNA from 1 species
GAGAGUAUAGCUCAGUGGUAGAGUGCCUGCCUAGCAUGCACAAGGUCCUGGGUUCAAUCUCCAGUACCUCCA